GAUGAACGCUGGCGGCGUGCCUAAUACAUGCAAGUCGAGCGAACGGACGAGAAGCUUGCUUCUCUGAUGUUAGCGGCGGACGGGUGAGUAACACGUGGAUAACCUACCUAUAAGACUGGGAUAACUUCGGGAAACCGGAGCUAAUACCGGAUAAUAUUUUGAACCGCAUGGUUCAAAAGUGAAAGACGGUCUUGCUGUCACUUAUAGAUGGAUCCGCGCUGCAUUAGCUAGUUGGUAAGGUAACGGCUUACCAAGGCAACGAUGCAUAGCCGACCUGAGAGGGUGAUCGGCCACACUGGAACUGAGACACGGUCCAGACUCCUACGGGAGGCAGCAGUAGGGAAUCUUCCGCAAUGGGCGAAAGCCUGACGGAGCAACGCCGCGUGAGUGAUGAAGGUCUUCGGAUCGUAAAACUCUGUUAUUAGGGAAGAACAUAUGUGUAAGUAACUGUGCACAUCUUGACGGUACCUAAUCAGAAAGCCACGGCUAACUACGUGCCAGCAGCCGCGGUAAUACGUAGGUGGCAAGCGUUAUCCGGAAUUAUUGGGCGUAAAGCGCGCGUAGGCGGUUUUUUAAGUCUGAUGUGAAAGCCCACGGCUCAACCGUGGAGGGUCAUUGGAAACUGGAAAACUUGAGUGCAGAAGAGGAAAGUGGAAUUCCAUGUGUAGCGGUGAAAUGCGCAGAGAUAUGGAGGAACACCAGUGGCGAAGGCGACUUUCUGGUCUGUAACUGACGCUGAUGUGCGAAAGCGUGGGGAUCAAACAGGAUUAGAUACCCUGGUAGUCCACGCCGUAAACGAUGAGUGCUAAGUGUUAGGGGGUUUCCGCCCCUUAGUGCUGCAGCUAACGCAUUAAGCACUCCGCCUGGGGAGUACGACCGCAAGGUUGAAACUCAAAGGAAUUGACGGGGACCCGCACAAGCGGUGGAGCAUGUGGUUUAAUUCGAAGCAACGCGAAGAACCUUACCAAAUCUUGACAUCCUUUGACAACUCUAGAGAUAGAGCCUUCCCCUUCGGGGGACAAAGUGACAGGUGGUGCAUGGUUGUCGUCAGCUCGUGUCGUGAGAUGUUGGGUUAAGUCCCACAACGAGCGCAACCCUUAAGCUUAGUUGCCAUCAUUAAGUUGGGCACUCUAAGUUGACUGCCGGUGACAAACCGGAGGAAGGUGGGGAUGACGUCAAAUCAUCAUGCCCCUUAUGAUUUGGGCUACACACGUGCUACAAUGGACAAUACAAAGGGCAGCGAAACCGCGAGGUCAAGCAAAUCCCAUAAAGUUGUUCUCAGUUCGGAUUGUAGUCUGCAACUCGACUACAUGAAGCUGGAAUCGCUAGUAAUCGUAGAUCAACAUGCUACGGUGAAUACGUUCCCGGGUCU
rnacentral:rRNA from 1 species